UGGGGAAUUUUGGACAAUGGGCGCAAGCCUGAUCCAGCCAUGCCGCGUGCAGGAUGAAGGCCCUCGGGUUGUAAACUGCUUUUGUACGGAACGAAAAGCCUCUUUCUAAUAAAGAGGGGUGAUGACGGUACCGUAAGAAUAAGCACCGGCUAACUACGUGCCAGCAGCCGCGGUAAUACGUAGGGUGCGAGCGUUAAUCGGAAUUACUGGGCGUAAAGCGUGCGCAGGCGGUCUUGCAAGACAGUGGUGAAAUCCCCGGGCUCAACCGGGGAACUGCCAUUGUGACUGCAAGGCUGGAGUACGGCAGAGGGGGAUGGAAUUCCGCGUGUAGCAGUGAAAUGCGUAGAUAUGCGGAGGAACACCGAUGGCGAAGGCAGUCCCCUGGGCCUGUACUGACGCUCAUGCACGAAAGCGUGGGGAGCAAACA
rnacentral:rRNA from 1 species